rnacentral:misc_RNA from 1 species
AAGUCGUAACAAGGUUUCCGUAGGUGAACCUGCGGAAGGAUCAUUACAGAGUUCAUGCCCGAAAGGGUAGACCUCCCACCCUUGUGUAUUUAUACUUUGUUGCUUUGGCGAGCUGCCUUUGGGCCUAAGAGUCUCGCCGAGGGAUAUCAAAACUCUUUUUAUUAAUGUCGUCUGAGUACUAUAUAAUAGUUAAAACUUUCAACAACGGAUCUCUUGGUUCUG